rnacentral:rRNA from 1 species
UACGAAGGGGGCUAGCGUUGUUCGGAUUUACUGGGCGUAAAGCGCACGUAGGCGGACUAUUAAGUCAGGGGUGAAAUCCCGGGGCUCAACCCCGGAACUGCCUUUGAUACUGGUAGUCUUGAGUUCGAGAGAGGUGAGUGGAAUUCCGAGUGUAGAGGUGAAAUUCGUAGAUAUUCGGAGGAACACCAGCGGCGAAGGCGGCUCACUGGCUCGAUACUGACGCUGAGGUGCGAAAGCGUGGGGAGCAAACAGG